GCGGAUUUGAGUGAUGGUGAGACAGCUUUACCUGGGGCGCCAGUUGUGAGAAGGCCUUACAGAAAACGAUCUCGUGUGGACUCUUCCAUACCACUUCCUUUGAUGGAAGGAGAAGGAAAAUCAUUUAGAGUACUAGGGUUUAAUCAAAGCCAGAGGGCCGCAUUUGUCAAAGUUUUAAUGAGGUUUGGAGUUGGAGACUAUGACUGGGCAGAAUUCACACCAAGACUGAAGCAGAAAACUUAUGAAGAAAUAAAAGAUUAUGGGUUUCUGUUUUUGUCUCAUAUUGCUGAAGAUAUUACUGAAUCACCAACAUUUAGAGAUGGGGUUCCAAAAGAAGGACUAAGAAUACCCGAUGUGCUAUUGAGGAUUGCAGUCUUGCUUCUCAUUAGAGACAAGGUCAAGGCUUUCUCGGAAGAGACAACUAGUCCUCUUUUUGCCAAGGACAUCGUAUCUUGGUUUCCUGGAUUGAAAGGUGGACGUGUUUGGAAGGAGGAUCAUGAUUUGCUGCUGCUACGAGCAGUACUAAAGCAUGGUUAUGGAAGAUGGCAAGCUAUUAUCGAUGACAAAGAGUUGAGAAUCCAAGAAGUUGUCUGUAAAGAGCUGAAUCUUCCUUCUAUAACUUUACCAGUUCCUGGAGCUUCUCAGCCACAAGUUCCUCCUGCUCCUGGAGCUUCUCAGGCGCUUCCCGCUUCAGGGGUUUCACAAGUUUCUGCUCCAGGAGUCUAUCAAGCACCAAAUGGUCUGAAUACAGCUAAUGCUGGGACUUCUGGAAAUCAGGUGAAGGCUGCUGAUGAGACUAACCAUGAAGUCUCACAUGGUACAAGCGAUCCUUCAAACAGAACCCAACUUCAUCAAGAUUCGUCUUUGUUAUAUCAUUUUAGAGAGAUGCAGAG
rnacentral:misc_RNA from 1 species